GGAGAGAUGGCCGAGUGGUUGAAGGCGCUCGCCUGGAAAGCGGGUAUGCGCCAGAAGCGUAUCGGGGGUUCGAAUCCCCCUCUCUCCGCCA
rnacentral:tRNA from 1 species